AGCAAUUCACUGCCAUGUUUAGGAGGAAGGCCUUCUUGCAUUGGUACACAGGUGAAGGUAUGGACGAGAUGGAGUUCACUGAGGCUGAGAGCAACAUGAACGAUCUGGUUUCUGAGUACCAGCAGUAUCAAGAUGCAACAGCCGAUGAGGAGGAAUACGAGGAUGAGCAAGGGGAGUAUGAGGAGGAAAUGUAAUUUCUAUCAAGCAGUAGUUUCCUUUGAAUAUCAACUUUCCAGUUAGCGUUUUAUGUAGUAUGUGAAUGAAUUUCUGAUUGAGUGUUUGUGGGACAAGUUUCAAUAUCAACUUCCAGUUGCUGCUUU
rnacentral:lncRNA from 1 species